AAAGUCGUAACAAGGUUUCCGUAGGUGAACCUGCGGAAGGAUCAUUAAUGAGUCUGCAGUUCUGCUCUCUGAGUAGGACUGCUUACUUUAUCUAUCUUAUGUUAUUUCUUGUUUUUGUUGCUUUGGCACUGCUACACUAUGUGGUUGUGUCAGAGGACUUGCUAACUCAUGGUAGUUCCUUUGUAAGAGGGAAGAGAAGUCAGUCUGAAUGUUAUAUCUAAUUGUAUAUACAAAACUUUCAACAACGGAUCUCUUGGUUCUG
rnacentral:misc_RNA from 1 species